GUUCCAACUGUCUUUUGGGUAGCCCUGAUGUUGCUACUGCUUCACUUGCUACUUGGUGAACGUCUCUCUCUCUCUCUCUCUCGCCAAAUUGUGAAAGACAUUUAUGCCAGUGGUUUAAUUCUGGACAAUUCCUUGAAGAAAAGCAAAAGCCAAGAUUUUACAAUCAAGAUGCAAAGGCUCCAGGAGAAGACAUCAUCCACAUGAUCAUUGUUAAAAUUUCUUGCCUGCCUCCAACCUUGAAGCAAGUUGGUGUUGCACCCUUUAUGUAUCUGCCAGGCUGAAGAAAUAUAAAAUGCAAAUGAAAUGGGUUUGAAGGACUCACUGCAAGGAAGAAAGGAGGACACUGGAGACAUAAUUGAGAAGAAUGUACAUCUUUUACUUUGACAACUAGAAAAAUAUUGCAGAGGUUCGCCUUGCCAAGCUUUGGGAGGAUGGUUCUCAGCGGGGUUCCUCCCCAGCCACAGAUGACAUAAUUUCCUGGCCCUAAGCCGCCACACAACGAUUUCCAGAUGACCCCAAGAAAUUCAGGCCGGGUGUAUCCCAGAGCAAGAUGGAGGAGUGAUACUGGUGUGCUUAUACCAGUGGAUGUGAUGGGACAGAAUCACUAAAGAGCCCCAUCAGCUUUGUCAACUGUGCAAAGCUCAACUGCAUGCUAUUAAGCAGGUGACCUAUUUCACUGGGUAUCUGGUAGUUGCGGAGGCACAUUGGCAUAACAGUUAUCUAUAUUCUGCUUCAGAAGGUCUUUGGCCUCCUCUGCAAAGCUCUGGUGCAUUGGAGGAAGAGAUAUUCCAGAGGCUAUAUCUAUUUUGUACAAAUGCCAGAUCCUCAGCGAAGCAUGUGGUACCUCCAGCGAGGCACCGCAAGGCAUGAUCCCAUUCGCUUCGGUCACAAAGUGGUGAAUUCCCUGCCCUGGGUGGCCACAGAUAAGGUCUCAUCACCAACGAAUUCCUCUUCCUGAUGUCUUCUAAGUAUACAAAAAUGGCUCUGGUCACUGCAAUGCACAGGAUGGAGCUGAAAAAAAUUACGACUCAGCUGUAAAAACAAAGAGAACACAACAGAACCUAAUGCCAACCAGCAUAUGUACACUGAAAAUGGACAUGGUUGUUGAUUCCAUUUUAAUAAUAUAACAAUAAUCCUUGCAUUUGAUAUAGCUCCUUUCAAGUCUGGAGCAUUUCUCAAAGUUCUUGACAUGAUUUACUGUAAGCACAUUUUGGAAAAAAGUUGCAUACCCAAGUAAUGUACAACAAUAAACUACUGUACUUAUA